CCCUGCUCCACUCUGACUGAGUAGGGUUUCUUGGUGUUUCUGGAUUUGAGCAGCUAACAGUUGCCAGGGGCUCUUUGACUAUGCAUGGGUCAUCAUGGCCAACUCCUCUUUCCUUGCCGGUCUGCCGUAGGACUGCAGAAGCCUCAAGCAAGCUGUCACAAGCACUAUUUUGCCAGAUCUUUCUCUGUUGGACAACACUUCCAUCUCACUAAUUCUAGAGAGUGACUGCUCUCCGGUUUAGCUUGAUGCUGUGAUGUGAGUAGGAAGGGAAGUCUGUAAAGGAUACCAUGUAAGUGUCAAGGCUAAAAAUGUCUCAAACAUUCUACUAAUAAAUUCUCUUCUAAGUACGCAGAUUAAUAUUUUUAUUCAACUCCCAUUUCUCUAUCGAUCCUCACACUUUAUGAGACACAACCUAGACCCAAGCCCUUUCAUUUGGUUAUUUGAAAUGAUAUUUUCUUAUUUUGUCAUUUCCAAGGGAUAUGUAGAAGAGAAGACUGUUGCUAAUUUUAUGACAUAAAGUGCACAGCCACCCGUGGAAGGUCUGUUCCUUCUUUGACUCAACUACUAUAGAACUAACAACACAUAAUUUAAUACAAAAUCUCUUGAACGUAUUUAUAAUUUAUUUACUUGUUAGUUUGUGA